GAUGAACGCUGGCGGCGUGCCUAACACAUGCAGGUCGAGCGAUUCUCUUCGGAGAAGAGCGGCGGACGGGUGAGUAACGCGUGGGUAACCUGCCCUGUACACACGGAUAACAUACCGAAAGGUAUGCUAAUACGAGAUAAUAUGCUUUUAUCGCAUGGUAGAAGUAUCAAAGUUUUUGCGGUACAGGAUGGACCCGCGUCUGAUUAGCUAGUUGGUAAGGUAACGGCUUACCAAGGCGACGAUCAGUAGCCGACCUGAGAGGGUGAUCGGCCACAUUGGAACUGAGACACGGUCCAAACUCCUACGGGAGGCAGCAGUGGGAAAUAUUGCACAAUGGGCGAAAGCCUGAUGCAGCAACGCCGCGUGAGCGAUGAAGGCCUUCGGGUCGUAAAGCUCUGUCCUCAAGGAAGAUAAUGACGGUACUUGAGGAGGAAGCCCCGGCUAACUACGUGCCAGCAGCCGCAGUAA
rnacentral:rRNA from 1 species